GGGGCUAUAGCUCAGUUGGGAGAGCGGCUCGUUCGCAACGAGCAGGUCGGGGGUUCGAGUCCCCUUAGCUCCA
rnacentral:tRNA from 1 species